UACAGAGACUGCAAGCGUUAUUCGGAUUCACUGGGCGUAAAGGGUGCGCAGGCGGUCGAGUGUGUCAGGUGUGAAAGCCCGGAGCUUAACUCCGGAAUUGCGCCUGAAACUACACGACUAGAGCAUUGGAGAGGGUAGCGGAAUUCACGGUGUAGCAGUGAAAUGCGUAGAUAUCGUGAGGAACACCAGAGGCGAAGGCGGCUACCUGGACAAUUGCUGACGCUCAGGCACGAAAGCGUGGGGAGCAAAAGGG
rnacentral:rRNA from 1 species